AUUUUGCUAAGUGAUCUCCAGCAGAAGCUCAGGUACUUCUCAAGACGUUUCUAGCUUGCACAAACACAGAACGAGGCAGCCAGACUGUUAGGUUGGAUUUCCAUCCCUUUCUCAUCCAGGGCACCUGCUCCCCUCUCCCUCCCCCUCCAAGUCCUCCCAGCUGUCUGUCUGUCUCAUUUAUGUCAAUUAGAGAUUCAAUGCUGCCUGAUUUAAUUGGCCUGACUUUCCCCUCUAAUAGGAGCCCCACGAAGGCAGGGCAUGCAGGCAGCUCUCUGCGGGCUGCCUGCCUGGGGAUGGAGCCUGUCCCGCGGUCGGGCCUCGUUUGCAGAACACAAUAACCUGCUUGUUGCUAUCAGCUGCGAUGGAAAGGUUGGUGACCCCCUAACAGGGAUGGGACCUGCGCGAGGAUGUUGUUUGGAAGCUCGGUUAAGGAAUUUGGGCAGCCACUUGCUCACUGUGGGGAGGCUGAGGCUGAGCUCUGCCACCCAAGGCAGCCUUCCCCUGCUCUGAGGCUGCCUCUGUGGGUGGUAGCUGCGAAGCUUUCACCCGCUGUGUCUGGAGGUGUCCUCCCCGAGCAAGGCUGCCCAAGAGCCACGUUUUGGGGCUCUGCAGGGAGUAAAAGCCUCUCGAGCAAAGUUUUCGCCACUCCUCUGCUCCCCCUCCGACAACUGAAUCGCAGGAACCAGGCCUGACCUACUUCUCCCUGGCUCCUCGCUUGCGUUUCCCUGACAAAUUACGAGGCCCUUCAUCUCCCGGCAGAAAUGUGAGUUUCCCAAGUAGCUGGCCCACAGAGGCAUAAAUAUUAAACAGCAACAGUACCAUCUAGUGACUUUGACUCACGGAGAGCAUCAGUUAAGAUGGGGACAAGGAAAUCGGUGCAUUAAGGAGUCCGAGCAAAGCCCCAGAUGUGCAGAUGAGGUCUUAUCUCUGGGUUCAUUUGGAUUUAGGAAACCAACCGUGCUGGUGCCGCACCAGCCUCUUGCUGCGAUGUGACGCUUCCUUGGGAGACAAUCCCGUUUUUAGCCUACUGACUCCCCGCUGAACCCAGCCCUGACCCACGCUCCCUCUGCUGGUAACGAACUAAUUUAUUUAAUGUGUUCACAACUUCGCGCACACCCACACGCGCACACAACAGCAAAUCCUGGCAGAAGCAUGCGAUGAAAUUUAGGGCUGCGGCAAUUUCUCGGUCCUGACGAACGUACACCUUUUCGCUCUGAUGAGCCAGGAGUGAAAUCCUGAAUUGGAUGCAUAAACUAAAUAGACACGGUUCCAUUACUGCAUCAAAAACAGGUCUAAAACUGAGCAGAAAGGGUACACGAGCUUAAAAGGCCCACUCCAAGCAGAUCUGAAAUUACAUCCUCUCCUUCACAGCUGAAGGGAGGAAAUCAAAUUAGAGCGUUUCUUUCUCCAUCAGAGGACACCAGUCCUGCUGCGGCCGUGUUACGCCGCGCCGUCAUUCAAGGCGCGCAGGAGCUCUCCCUGGAGGGCUUCUGCGUGACCAGGGCAUCGCUCCGGAUCGCCGCGCUACCCACGGGCUCUGGGGUGCUCUGUGCUGGAGGGCACAACCCUUCUCAGCUGGUUUGCAGCGUGUGUGUGGGCACUGCCUCUUUCCCAGUCAGAGGCUGUUGUUACAUGCACCAAAUGCACGGGAUGGAGGAAAGGUGACACAAGAACACAAUGUUGCUGAACUUAAAUGCUAAAACAUGACAGCAAACCUAUUAAAUGCCAUUGGUACUUGCAGAAGAAAUUGCUUUGCCAUCUAAUCAAACGUGUCCCCUCUUUGCUAUCAAGAGCACAGCGCUGCCCUAAGUCCACUCAGCCUGGCUCAUGGGCUGAUGGGUGCCUGACAAUUUUCUGGUUUCAAUUUAAACAGAAAACUAAAUUAGCAAAUUAAUUGUUUGCCGUGUUUUGCCUUGGUCCCCAUCAGCUGCCGCAGGACCAGCAGCCAAUCCAGGGACCCCUCUCGCAGUCCCAAGCAGAAGGUGGAGCUCUGCACCGGGUCCUGCUAUCUACCAAGUGUCAGUCACGUUAAUUUUAAAUUACUUUUGUACAGCUUGGUGUCAAAACGAUUAAAGCAUGAAAAGAAAAACUGAACUAGAGAGAGGGAAGGGCGGGGGGGAGAGAGAAUGAAUAAUUUACCUUGCGUUUACAGCAAGGACACUUAGAUUUCUUUAACUCCUCAACUCUGCCAAGCCUGAAACUUUUCUUUCCUCAGCUCAAACUGCUUACGACUCCGCCUGAGCAGGUGCUCUGGAUCCUCGCCGUCUGCGGGGAGGCAGUAACUGCUCGCAGCACAAAGCCGUGAUAAUAUCUCAGUUUUUUCCCAGCAAGGCUGCCCCUCUACCUGGCACUGGAGAGCUGUGUGAGGGCACGAGAGAGACGUGCAGUGGAUCAACAGUGCUGUUGUAUCGCAUCCAACUGCAAAACCUAUCAGGACAUUCUGUAUCGAUUGAAGUACAAAGACCAAAAUAAUAGAAGUGUAACAAAGACAGCAACCAACUAAAAGCCAGAUGCUAGAGGCGACCUGAGGCCUAAAACAAAGCACAGAUCAUCAGUAAUUGGUGCUGGAGGAGCUUAAAGUCAAGAGAUGUUUCUCUCUUUGUCCUGAAAAUUCUCAAGAGCUGGAGGCUGGUGUUUCCAGCACCCCGUGAACGACACAAUUUAGAGUUAUAACUGAUGAACAAGACAGAAACUUCAAAGAGAUCAGCAGGUCGAGGACAACCAGGCCUUCUUAACCCGACACCCUCGAUUUACAUUUGGAUUUUAUGUUUGUAAAUGAAGCCACAUACAAAUUUAGGGAUCGGUGAUAAGGAAAUGGAAGCUUAUGAAAGGUGUCGGGCAUCUCGCAUCAGGAAAUUUCUAUGGAAAUGCUUGAUUGCUAACAGGAUUUACGGGUAUCUACUUGCUAUAAUUAAUCUUUCUCUUCCACAUAAUUUCAUUACAUGUUGCCUGUUUUUACUGAGUACAGUCCCAACAUCCCUGAAACCCAUGGGUUCAGUGGAGGAAGGGUUUUUAAUGUCUAGGAGUUGCAUUGCAACAGCAGAGAGGCUCAACAACUCUGCGUUUCAGGGGUGGAGAGCUCCAGGGACUGGCAGAGCUGGAGAGAAGGGCUCGUAAAAGGCAACAGGCUUGAGGAGACAGAGGAAGGAAGGUCUUUAACUGUUAGGCUGAAUCACUAAAGCCCGUAUCUAAUGAACCAUACGGUAUUUACUGAUACUGCGUGUCCUUGUCUAUUACGGACAUUUAUCAGCAGGCUUGCUCCCCCUUCCCGUUUUCCAACUUCAUUUCUUUGUGGUUUGCACGUGUGAUGCAUUUUCAGUCUUGUCUUGUUAAAUAACACAAGUAGUGAGGUGCAGACCCCGAGCCCUCUCAACUUGCAGGUAUCCUUUAGCUGAAUACAGGGACAGCAUUUUAGCCCUUUAGAGUCUCUGUUGCUGGGAAUCCUAGGGUCAUUGGGGUUGGAAAAGCCCUCCAAGAUCACCUGGCCUAACCGUCCCCCUACCACCACCAUCACCCACUGACCAUGUC